AGACAUGUAGUUCAGCGGUUAGAAUAUACGUCUGAUAAACGUAUGGUCAUUGGUUCAAAUCCAAUCAUGUCUACCA
rnacentral:tRNA from 1 species